GUUAUUUUAAAUCCUUAAUUAUUAAUAGUUAAAUUCUUUAAAUUUAGAAUAAAUGGCGGUAUUUUAGUCUAUUCAGAGGAAUCUGCCCUGUGAUUGAUACUCCACGAUUUAAUUUACUUAAUAUUUUAGUUUACAUAUCGCUGUAACAUGAAUAUUUUUUUUGAAAUUUAAUAUUCGAUUUUUUUAGGGAAGUAAAUUCAAGUCAAGAUGUAGCUUAUUAUUAAGAAGAGGUGGAUUACAGUAUUUAUAAUAAUUGGUUAUUAAUUUGUAAAGAUUAGUAUAAAUUGGAUUUGAAAGUAAUUAAAAAAAGAUUUUUUUAAUGAUUAAAGCUCUAAAAUA
rnacentral:rRNA from 1 species